AUUGAACGCUGGCGGCAGGCUUAACACAUGCAAGUCGAACGAUGACUCUCUAGCUUGCUAGAGAAGAUUAGUGGCGGACGGGUGAGUAACAUUUAGGAAUCUGCCUAGUAGUGGGGGAUAGCUCGGGGAAACUCGAAUUAAUACCGCAUACGACCUACGGGUGAAAGGGGGCGCAAGCUCUUGCUAUUAGAUGAGCCUAAAUCAGAUUAGCUAGUUGGUGGGGUAAAGGCCCACCAAGGCGACGAUCUGUAACUGGUCUGAGAGGAUGAUCAGUCACACCGGAACUGAGACACGGUCCGGACUCCUACGGGAGGCAGCAGUGGGGAAUAUUGGACAAUGGGGGCAACCCUGAUCCAGCCAUGCCGCGUGUGUGAAGAAGGCCUUUUGGUUGUAAAGCACUUUAAGCAGGGAGGAGAGGCUAAUGGUUAAUACCCAUUAGAUUAGACGUUACCUGCAGAAUAAGCACCGGCUAACUCUGUGCCAGCAGCCGCGGUAAUACAGAGGGUGCGAGCGUUAAUCGGAAUUACUGGGCGUAAAGCGAGUGUAGGUGGCUCAUUAAGUCACAUGUGAAAUCCCCGGGCUUAACCUGGGAACUGCAUGUGAUACUGGUGGUGCUAGAAUAUGUGAGAGGGAAGUAGAAUUCCAGGUGUAGCGGUGAAAUGCGUAGAGAUCUGGAGGAAUACCGAUGGCGAAGGCAGCUUCCUGGCAUAAUAUUGACACUGAGAUUCGAAAGCGUGGGUAGCAAACAGGAUUAGAUACCCUGGUAGUCCACGCCGUAAACGAUGUCUACUAGCCGUUGGGGUCCUUGAGACUUUAGUGGCGCAGUUAACGCGAUAAGUAGACCGCCUGGGGAGUACGGCCGCAAGGUUAAAACUCAAAUGAAUUGACGGGGGCCCGCACAAGCGGUGGAGCAUGUGGUUUAAUUCGAUGCAACGCGAAGAACCUUACCUGGUCUUGACAUAGUGAGAAUCCUGCAGAGAUGCGGGAGUGCCUUCGGGAAUUCACAUACAGGUGCUGCAUGGCUGUCGUCAGCUCGUGUCGUGAGAUGUUGGGUUAAGUCCCGCAACGAGCGCAACCCUUUUCCUUAUUUGCCAGCGGGUUAAGCCGGGAACUUUAAGGAUACUGCCAGUGACAAACUGGAGGAAGGCGGGGACGACGUCAAGUCAUCAUGGCCCUUACGACCAGGGCUACACACGUGCUACAAUGGUAGGUACAGAGGGUUGCUACACAGCGAUGUGAUGCUAAUCUCAAAAAGCCUAUCGUAGUCCGGAUUGGAGUCUGCAACUCGACUCCAUGAAGUCGGAAUCGCUAGUAAUCGCAGAUCAGAAUGCUGCGGUGAAUACGUUCCCGGGCCU
rnacentral:rRNA from 1 species